rnacentral:ncRNA from 1 species
ACAAUGGAGAGUUUGAUCCUGGCUCAGGAUGAACGCUAGCGGCAGGCCUAACACAUGCAAGUCGAGGGGUAGAAUGUCUUCGGAUGUUUGAGACCGGCGCACGGGUGCGUAACGCGUAUGCAACCUACCUCUUACUGGGGAAUAGCCCGAAGAAAUUCGGAUUAAUGCCCCAUAUGCUCGUACGGCCUCAUGGUCGAGCGAGGAAAGCUCCGGCGGUAAGAGAUGGGCAUGCGUCCUAUUAGCUUGUUGGUGAGGUAAUGGCUCACCAAGGCUACGAUAGGUAGGGGGCCUGAGAGGGUGACCCCCCACACUGGUACUGAGACACGGACCAGACUCCUACGGGAGGCAGCAGUGAGGAAUAUUGGGCAAUGG